GCUAGCAAUUCCAAGGAACUAAGACCAACAGGAAGUGACCUCCAACUCGGAGGUGACAAGCUGCCUCCAGAUUGAAACAUACUUAUCAACAGAGAAGUGAAGAAAAGAGAGAGCAGGGCAAAGAAGUAAAGAAUCAUUCAUCAAAGAGCCAGAAGGGGAAAUACGUGCUCUUUAGGCUAAACAGAGACAUUGUGAGGUCAAUGCAAAUUCACGGUCAUUUCAAUGUAGCAUUGAAAGGUAUGUGUAAGCCCUUGGGCUCUUGAGGCCAGUUAUAAUCUUUUCCUUUCCCUGUUCCAUUCCUCCAGUGGCAGACUGCAGCAGGAUAAAUAAGAAGGUAACAGAGCUAAGCAUGCUGGACCAGCAGAGCAUAUAUUCUAUCCGGAGGUGUUGGACUCAAAUAUUAAAUGCCUUCUGGUUUGGGACAGCGUGUAAUCUGCAGAUGCUAUAGAUGGACAAUGAAGUGUCAUAGAAUCAGAUCAACCAAGAAGGGUGAGUGUUCUUGAAGACAGUAACUUGAAAGAAGACAUACCUGUUGCUAAGAUGCUUAACAAGUGAAAUACAAGUUACAAGAAUUCAGAGAGUAAAGAGAAAAGU